GUGGGGAAUCUUGCGCAAUGGGCGAAAGCCUGACGCAGCCAUGCCGCGUGAAUGAUGAAGGUCUUAGGAUUGUAAAAUUCUUUCACCGGGGACGAUAAUGACGGUACCCGGAGAAGAAGCUCCGGCUAACUUCGUGCCAGCAGCCGCGGUAAUACGAAGGGGGCUAGCGUUGCUCGGAAUUACUGGGCGUAAAGGGCGCGUAGGCGGACAGCUUAGUCAGAGGUGAAAGCCCAGGGCUCAACCUUGGAAUUGCCUUUGAUACUGGCUGUCUUGAGUUUGGGAGAGGUGAGUGGAACUCCGAGUGUAGAGGUGAAAUUCGUAGAUAUUCGGAAGAACACCAGUGGCGAAGGCGACUCACUGGCUCGAUACUGACGCUGAGGUGCGAAAGCGUGGGGAGCAAACAGGAUUAGAAACCCUAGUAGUCC
rnacentral:rRNA from 1 species